rnacentral:rRNA from 1 species
GCAUCAGUGAUGUUUAUUUGUCAAUGGGAGCAAGCUUGAUCCAUCCAUGGCGCGUGCAGGAAGACAUCCGUAUGGAAAGUAAAUUGUUUUUAUACAGAAAGAAACACUCGUAUGUGUACUAGACUGUCGUUUCUGUAUGAGUAUGGGUUGGCUAAGUCCGUGCCAGCGGGGUCAUUAAUAGGGAGCAUGCGAUCUCUAUCCUGAUUCAUUUUAUUUAAAGGGUCCGUGGGCGGAUUUCUCAGUCAGUGGUGUAAGCGUCUCGCUCAAAAAUGGAACUGCCAUUGAGAUUGUCGUUCUUGAGUGUGAAGGAGGUAGAAUGAAUAUUUCAGGUGUCGGUGAAAUGCAUAUAUCUGACACUGAACACCGAGAGCGCAGGCCGCUCACUAUACACUCACUGACGCUGACGAACGAAUGCGUGGGGACACGAACAUGGAUUAGACUACCCUUGUUAGUCGCAGUCAGUAAAUCGAUGAUCAGCUCUCUGUUCACAGAUGCGCUUUGAGUGGCUAAGCGAAAGUGAUAAGUACCACCCUGGACUCCGCGUGGGG